CGCGGAACGCACGUGCAAUACAAUAUUGCAAUCUUGUCUGUAUUCUACUUCUGGGUAUGUGCGUGUGUUCCAGUGAUGUAAUGACGUCGACGUCCGUCCUCCAAGUGGCCUCGAAGACUGCAUAAAAGGGUCUCCUAAUGCGCACGUGCGUACCCUCGAUCUCUCUGCAGUCAUCUUAUGCCCAAUGGAACGCAAGUGCGUUCCAAAUACGAGAAUGUCAUUAGAAACCAUGAGAAAAAAAAAGAAAC